CAGCAGCCACGGUAAUACGAAGGGGGCUAGCGUUGCUCGGAAUGACUGGGCGUAAAGGGCGCGUAGGCGGCGGCCAAAGUCAGGCGUGAAAUUCCCGGGCACAACCUGGGGGCUGCGUUUGAUACUUGGUUGCUUGAGUGGGGAAGAGGGUCGUGGAAUUCCCAGUGUAGAGGUGAAAUUCGUAGAUAUUCGGAGGAACACCAGUGGCGAAGGCGGCUCACUGGCUCGGUACUGACGCUGAGGUGCGAAAGCGUGGGGAGCAAACAGGAUUAGAUACCCGUGUAGUCCCUGUCUCUUAUAC
rnacentral:rRNA from 1 species